rnacentral:rRNA from 1 species
CCUACGGGGCGCAGCAGUGGGGAGUAUUGCACAAUGGGGGAAACCCUGAUGCAGCGACGCCGCGUGAGCGAAGAAGUAUUUCGGUAUGUAAAGCUCUAUCAGCAGGGAAGAAAAAUGACGGUACCUGAGUAAGAAGCACCGGCUAAAUACGUGCCAGCAGCCGCGGUAAUACGUAUGGUGCAAGCGUUAUCCGGAUUUACUGGGUGUAAAGGGAGCGUAGACGGCAGCGCAAGUCUGGAGUGAAAUGCCGGGGCUCAACCCCGGAACUGCUUUGGAAACUGUGCGGCUCUAGUGCGGGAGAGGUA